GACGAACGCUGGCGGCGUGCUUAACACAUGCAAGUCGAACGGAAAGGCCCUGCUUUUGUGGGGUGCUCGAGUGGCGAACGGGUGAGUAACACGUGAGUAACCUGCCCUUGACUUUGGGAUAACUUCAGGAAACUGGGGCUAAUACCGGAUAGGAGCUCCUGCUGCAUGGUGGGGGUUGGAUAGUUUCGGCGGUUGGGGAUGGACUCGCGGCUUAUCAGCUUGUUGGUGGGGUAGUGGCUUACCAAGGCUUUGACGGGUAGCCGGCCUGAGAGGGUGACCGGCCACAAGGGGAAUGAGAUACGGCCCAGACUGCUACGGGAGGCAGCAGUGGGGAAUAUUGCACAAUGGGCGGAAGCCUGAUGCAGCAACGCCGCGUGCGGGAUGACGGCCUUCGGGGUGUAAAACGCUUUCGCCUGUGACGAAGCGUGAGUGACGGUAAUGGGUAAAGAAGCACCGGCUAACUACGU
rnacentral:rRNA from 1 species